UACGGAGGGGCUGAGCGUUGUUCGGAAUUACUGGGCGUAAAGCGCACGUAGGCGGCUUUGUAAGUUAGAGGUGAAAGCCCGGAGCUCAAACUCCGGAAUAGCCUUUAAGACUGCAUCGCUAGAAUUGUGGAGAGGUAAGUGGAAUUCCGGAGUGUAGAGGUGAAAUUCGUAGAUAUUCGGAAGAACACCAGUGGCGAAGGCGACUUACUGGACACAUAUUGACGCUGAGGUGCGAAAGCGUGGGAGCAAACAGG
rnacentral:rRNA from 1 species